GGGGAAUUUGCCCUGACAGACACAGAGCCUGGGGCUGGAGAUUUUCUGAGAUGCCUCAGGCUCCUUCCCACAAAUUUCGCAUCAGCUUGAGCUCAGUGGGAGUAGAAUCUGCCACCGACAAACUCCUAAGAUGGCUUUGUUCAUUCCCACCUUCAUCAUAAAUCAGGUUGGGGUGGAGAAGCAAUAUCCCUAAGGGAAAAAUAAAAGUCUCCAAGCUAGGACUUUCAGCCUGGGGCCUGACAUUGCACAGAAAAUGGCCACUGCAGUCUCACAGGAACGCAGCCAGUCAAUGGUUUUCCUGAAACAAACUCUCAUCAUCUGAGAGAACCUGCAUGCACCUCUGCUCCCUGCACCCCAGAGGGAACCAGCAGUGUGCCCUGGGAAAAGCUGGGGCCCCACAGGUCCCAGUCUCUGAACAGGGUCUCGUAUAAAGAAGCACCGUCCAGCAACUAUUGCAGCAUUCACUGGCAUCUCGAAGACAGUAUCAACGAGUAUCUACAUCACAACCCGUAACCUCGCUCCUCAAGUUCCCUGUCCUCCCCUCCCAACCCCUGUACCCACAGCUGAUCGUGAGCCUCACACCCACCCACCUCCAGCAGUGCCAGAUUCACUCCUUACUUCCCCACUCUCUUCAUAUGGAGAGUGACAGCUUCCCUAGGUGGGUUAGAGCCGCUUUGGGCCCAUCUUUCUGAUCUUGUCUCUCUUGUUCCAUUCUCCAGUUUUUUGUUCUAAAAUAUCUGGCAAACACGUCAUUUUGAAUUAGUUUGGGGAGGUCAGGGUGCAGUUGGGGCAGGAACAUUUCCACAUUAACAAUUCUUGCUCUCACCAUGAUACUGAUUUUUUUUCUGGAGACAGAGUCUCGCUCUGUUGCCCAGGCUGGAGUGCAGUGGGGCGAUCUUGGCUCACUACAACGUCUGCCUCCUGGUUUCACACAGUUCUCAUGCCUCAGCCUCCCGAGUAGCUGGGACUACAGGUGCAUGCCACCAUACCCAACUCAUUUUUCAUAUUUUAGUGAAAACAAGGUUUCACCAUGUUGGCCAGGCUGGUCUUGAACUCCCAAGCUCUGGCAGUCUGACUGCCUCGGCCUCCCAAGGUGCUAGGAUUACAGCUGUAAGCCACUGCACCCGGCCAGAUACUGAUUUUUUUUAACCCUACUAUUUACUGGGCACAUACUACACAUCAGGCGGUGACCUCAGUAUUUUCCAUUGAAAAGAUCGUUUAAUCCUCAAAAUGAUUUCAUAAAACUGAUUAAAAUCCCUAAUUUAUAAGUAAUAACUGAGAGAGAUCAAGUACUCCAAGAAAGAAGGAAAAAGGGAGAGAGAGAAGAUCCUUGUGAUGAUGAAAUCCCUUAGACUUUGCCAUCUCAUCUUUCUCCUGCCUCCACACAAGGUCGUAGAAGAAAACAACAUGGACCACUUGCCAGCGUCUCUUUGAACAGAGAAGCUACUGCUGUCUAAGGCAUUUUGUUCCCAUGAGGGAAGAGUCUGGGAGAGAAGCAACCUGGUGGAGAGUGGGCCUAAGACACGGAGAGAGGAUGUUGAUGCCGUGAGUUCCCAAUCCCGCCGCGCCCGUCAGACUUACCCUCAGCUUUCCAGUCUCAGGAGCCAACACUCUUUCCUUCAGCCAGAUCAAGGUCCUUGUCACUUACAGCCAACACCACAACUGAUACAAAAGGGAAGGACACAAAACAAUUGUGGAGAAAGCCGUCUGGAUGGAGCCAGCAGCUUCGCUACCAUCGAGUGGCAUUUCCAGAGAGCAGAUGCACGCGGAGGGGUGUAGUUUGAAGGAAGACCUGGCGGGAUUUGCUAAUGAAUUGGAUAGCAGCGUAGUGAAAGAGACCCUCAGGAAUGACUUCCGGUUUUUAGGCUAAGGAAUUGCAAGAAUGGAACCAUGAACGGAGAUGUUGGUUUAGACCAGUCGCCCUCUGGACCAAGCUGCUGUGAGCAUGGAUUUAACAAAAUGUCAGCCCCACUGGGUAUGAUUUUCAAGUAUGAAUUCAAAACCUAUGGUGAGUUUCUACCAGUUUAAUCAAAAGUCCUUUUAUUUUGUUCUGGGUAAACACAGCUACGUCUGGGGUUUGCAUGCAAAGCAGUGGCUUUGACUUUCUUUUCGUUUUUUUGUAAAGCAGUAUUCAUCCAGUUAUGAGAAAACCACUUUUGCUUAUUGACCUUCUAAAAUGUCGGCAUUGUAAAUCAAAUCACUUGCAAAAAAUCCUCCAAAACAUAAUUUUUCAAAGCUUUCAUCCCUAAAGAAGUCAAUGUAUAAGGAAUAAGUGGUGAACGAGCCAGGGUCCUCUUCUCCUCUCUAGAGGAGGUAAAACGUCCUGGGCUGGGAGAGAGAGGAAGAGAAGCCAGAGGUUGGAUGGUGGGCAGCUUUUGAGAAGGGGUUUCAUGUUCUGCCCUUCCUGGGUCAGUUUCAUGGAAGGUCCCCAAUGCACGAACAAAUCAGAGAGGCCUGGAGCGGUAGGAGCUCAAGGGCAGAGCCAUGAGCUGCGUUCCGGCGACAGAGGAGACAUGGCUGGUUCGCGUCGUGUCUGCAUCUGAGCAGAGAGCUUGCCUCUGCUUUGUGAGUUUCUCCAGCCCUGAGUGGGGAGUGGAGCAGCCUCUUCCCCUACCCCACCCCUGUGUCCAGGGAUGCUCAGAAGUCCCCGAAGUAAAGGCAGACUUGGAGACACCUGGAGCCUGGGAAUGCGGGAGGGGAUGGACUGGAUGAUGUCUUUGUGAAUCUCUCAAGGAUGGGCAGGAUGUGGUCCAUCUCAGUGGAUAGUGGCCUGCAGCGCAGGUGACUGGCAGACAGGUGUGUCCCCAGUCUCCACUGCUGCAGCCGGCAAGGCCCUCUGGAAACCUUGCUGCAACCUCUGAUGGGAACAGCCCCGGUGGAUGGGAAGCUGCUGUCUGGAUGAAGAGUGAUUCAAGGAAGCUAUGGAUGGAGUUAGGGAAAUACAGCAUUGCAUUUCAUUCUGGGUCUGAUGCGUGUGCCUGACUCAGGGUGGGGCUUCUCUGGGACUGUUAAGAAGUGUGUAUGAGUUCUCUAUGAGAAUUUAAAUGUGCAUAUAUUUGGGUCCCUCCAAAAUUCCUAGGUUGAAGUCCUCACCCCUACUGUGAUGGAAUCAGGAAGAGAAGCCUUUGGGAGGUGAUUAGGUCAUGGAGGGUGGGGCUCUCAUAGAUGGGAUGAGUGCCGUUAUAUAAAGCCAGAGCAAAGAGAGCUCCCUUGUUCCUGCGUCUGUGGGAGGACGGCGCCACCCAAGAACCAGGAGGGACACACUCAGCAGACACCCAAUCUGCUGGUGCCUUAAUCCUGGACUUCCCAACCUCCGGAAUGAUGAGCAAUAAAGUUCUGUUGUUUGUAAGCCAUCCAGUCUGUGGUGUUCGGUUAUAGCAUCCUGAACAGACUAAGACAAUGUUUUGUAAGAGCCCAUUUGGGUUUCCUGGGUGGCCCACAGGAGCUAUGCAGGGGUUCUGGGGUCUGUGCCUUUGGGACUAGAUGACGCAGCUGUCAGAGCCUGUGGCUUGGCUUGGUCAGCGCCUGCCCUUCCCUCCAGUCUCCUCCAUCUUGGCUCCCACCCCUCCUGCCCCCACUGCUCCCCCAGCUCCAGAUUCUUCACCUUAUGAUGUUCCAUAAAGGAAUGCAGCUCUCCCCAGCUCAAGUCCCACAGCCUCUCACCUGAACUCCUGAAGGUGCUCAGCAGAACCCAGAGCCCUCCAUCUGGCAGGAUGAGUCCUCACUCUAGGAACCAUGGGAACCACAGACUCCACCUGAGGCAGCAGCUGCUGCGCACAGAGCAG
rnacentral:lncRNA from 1 species